GCUGGCGGCAGGCCUAACACAUGCAAGUCGAACGGUAACAGGAAACAGCUUGCUGUUUCGCUGACGAGUGGCGGACGGGUGAGUAAUGUCUGGGAAACUGCCUGAUGGAGGGGGAUAACUACUGGAAACGGUAGCUAAUACCGCAUAACGUCGCAAGACCAAAGAGGGGGACCUUCGGGCCUCUUGCCAUCGGAUGUGCCCAGAUGGGAUUAGCUAGUAGGUGGGGUAACGGCUCACCUAGGCGACGAUCCCUAGCUGGUCUGAGAGGAUGACCAGCCACACUGGAACUGAGACACGGUCCAGACUCCUACGGGAGGCAGCAGUGGGGAAUAUUGCACAAUGGGCGCAAGCCUGAUGCAGCCAUGCCGCGUGUAUGAAGAAGGCCUUCGGGUUGUAAAGUACUUUCAGCGGGGAGGAAGGGAGUAAAGUUAA
rnacentral:rRNA from 1 species